UACAGAGGGUGCAAGCGUUAAUCGGAAUUACUGGGCGUAAAGGGCGCGUAGGCGGUUAUGUAAGUGAGAUGUGAAAUCCCUGGGCUUAACCUAGGAACUGCAUCUCAUACUGUGUAACUAGAGUAUUGUAGAGGGUAGUGGAAUUUCCGGUGUAGCGGUGAAAUGCGUAGAGAUCGGAAGGAACACCAGUGGCGAAGGCGGUUCUCUGGGCCUGACCUGACGCUGAGGAGCGAAAGCGUGGGGAGCGAACAGG
rnacentral:rRNA from 1 species